UGGGGAAUAUUGGACAAUGGGCGAAAGCCUGAUCCAGCCAUGCCGCGUGUGUGAAGAAGGUCUUCGGAUUGUAAAGCACUUUAAGUUGGGAGGAAGGGCAUUAACCUAAUACGUUAGUGUUUUGACGUUACCGACAGAAUAAGCACCGGCUAACUCUGUGCCAGCAGCCGCGGUAAUACAGAGGGUGCAAGCGUUAAUCGGAAUUACUGGGCGUAAAGCGCGCGUAGGUGGUUUGUUAAGUUGGCUGUGAAAUCCCCGGGCUCAACCUGGGAACUGCAUUCAAAACUGACUGACUAGAGUAUGGUAGAGGGUGGUGGAAUUUCCUGUGUAGCGGUGAAAUGCGUAGAUAUAGGAAGGAACACCAGUGGCGAAGGCGACCACCUGGACUAAUACUGACACUGAGGUGCGAAAGCGUGGGGAGCAAACA
rnacentral:rRNA from 1 species